rnacentral:rRNA from 1 species
GAUGAACGCUGGCGGCGUGCCUAAUACAUGCAAGUCGAGCGAACAGACGAGGAGCUUGCUCCUCUGACGUUAGCGGCGGACGGGUGAGUAACACGUGGAUAACCUACCUAUAAGACUGGGAUAACUUCGGGAAACCGGAGCUAAUACCGGAUAAUAUAUUGAACCGCAUGGUUCAAUAGUGAAAGACGGUUUUGCUGUCACUUAUAGAUGGAUCCGCGCCGCAUUAGCUAGUUGGUAAGGUAACGGCUUACCAAGGCAACGAUGCGUAGCCGACCUGAGAGGGUGAUCGGCCACACUGGAACUGAGACACGGUCCAGACCCCUACGGGAGGCAGCAGUAGGGAAUCUUCCGCAAUGGGCCAAAGCCUGACGGAGCAACGCCGCGUGAGUGAUGAAGGUCUUCGGAUCGUAAAACUCUGUUAUUAGGGAAGAACAAAUGUGUAAGUAACUAUGCACGUCUUGACGGUACCUAAUCAGAAAGCCACGGCUAACUACGUG